rnacentral:rRNA from 1 species
UGUUGAGGAAGAUAAUGACGGUACUCAACAAGGAAGUGACGGCUAACUACGUGCCAGCAGCCGCGGUAAAACGUAGGUCACAAGCGUUGUCCGGAAUUACUGGGUGUAAAGGGAGCGCAGGCGGGCGAUCAAGUUGGAAGUGAAAUCCAUGGGCUCAACCCAUGAACUGCUUUCAAAACUGGUCGUCUUGAGUAGUGCAGAGGUAGGCGGAAUUCCCGGUGUAGCGGUGGAAUGCGUAGAUAUCGGGAGGAACACCAGUGGCGAAGGCGGCCUACUGGGCACCAACUGACGCUGAGGCUCGAAAGUGUGGGUAGCAAACAGGAUUAGAUACCCUGGUAGUCCACACCGUAAACGAUGAUUACUAGGUGUUGGGAGAUUGACCCUCUCAGUGCCGCAGUUAACACAAUAAGUAAUCCACCUGGGGAGUACGACCGCAAGGUUGAAACUCAAAGGAAUUGACGGGGGCCCGCACAAGCAGUGGAGUAUGUGGUUUAAUUCGACGCAACGCGAAGAACCUUACCAAGUCUUGACAUCCUCUGACGAACGUAGAAAUACGUUUUCUCUUCGGAGCAGAGAGACAGGUGGUGCAUGGUUGUCGUCAGCUCGUGUCGUGAGAUGUUGGGUUAAGUCCCGCAACGAGCGCAACCCUUAUGGUCAGUUACUACGCAAGAGGACUCUGGCCGGACUGC